rnacentral:lncRNA from 1 species
UGGGAGUUACUUCCUAGCACUAUACUGCAUAUUUAAUGCACAUCAAAUUUGUGUGGGUUGCGACAGCCCAUCAAAUUUUGGCGUCGUUGUCAGGGACCAACGGUUCGGUUUUAGGUCUUUAUUGUGUUAGUGUGUGUUGUCUUGUCUUGUGUUGUGAGUGUGAUGUUCUGUUUUGUGUGUGUCAUCAUGUGUGUUGCAUUUAGAUAGCUUUAGUUGCAUAUUUUCAUUGCAUUCUUCUUUUCCCCCCUUCUACAUGUCUACCUAUUUUGGUUAUGUGAGUAAUGCUUAUUCUGCCUGUGUCUAUGA